rnacentral:rRNA from 1 species
UACGUAGGGUGCAAGCGUUGUCCGGAAUUAUUGGGCGUAAAGAGCUCGUAGGCGGUCUGUCGCGUCGGUCGUGAAAACUUGUGGCUCAACCACAAGCUGGCGGUCGAUACGGGCAGGCUGGAGUUCGGUAGGGGAGACUGGAAUUCCCAGUGUAGAGGUGAAAUUCGUAGAUAUUGGGAAGAACACCGGUGGCGAAGGCGGCGACCUGGUCCGAUACUGGACGCUGAGGCGCGAAAGCGUGGGAGCAAACAGGA